rnacentral:sRNA from 1 species
GCGGCGUGAGAAGCCAUGAGGUGAGUUGGUCCUGAAAGCCCUAUCCGCGUUCAUCCGCGCCUUCAGGUGCCCCGCCGAGGGUUCGGAUCCUGUAGGCCGCGCCGCGGACCCUUGCGCCACCUUCGCCGCGGGGCAUUUCUCAAGGCGGGUAGGCCUGCGGGUCGCCCUUUCUACCAGGUCCGAUCACUGAGAGCCUCCCUCUUCCACCGGGGCUUGGGUCUGGGUCUGAGCUCCCGUCGCUGUACUUGGUGUCCGGAAUCUACGGGGGAGUCCGCCGUGGGCCGCCCGCCCGUCUCGAAGCCUAGAGCCUCGGAGGCUUCCAGGCAGUCCGAGCGUGUGGACUCCGCGGCCCUGAGCGCCCUGUCGCUUCUCUCCCGCAGCAGCAAAGUCUCUCGCGACACCCUGUACGAGGCGGUGCGGGAAGUCCUGCACGGGAACCAGCGCAAGCGCCGCAAGUGAGUGCCGACCCUGGGGCACGGCGCGGGUGGCGAGGGCCGGCGGGUGCUUAACCCCCCUCCUCUCUCGAAGGUUCCUGGAGACGGUGGAGUUGCAGAUCAGCUUGAAGAACUAUGACCCCCAGAAGGACAAGCGCUUCUCGGGCACCGUCAGGCUUAAGUCCACUCCCCGCCCUAAGUUCUCUGUGUGUGUCCUGGGGGACCAGCAGCACUGUGACGAGGCUAAGGCCGUGGAUAUCCCCCACAUGGACAUCGAGGCGCUGAAAAAACUCAACAAGAAUAAAAAACUGGUCAAGAAGCUGGCCAAGAAGUAUGAUGCGUUUUUGGCCUCAGAGUCUUUGAUCAAGCAGAUUCCACGAAUCCUCGGCCCAGGUUUAAAUAAGGCAGGAAAGUUCCCUUCCCUGCUCACACACAACGAAAACAUGGUGGCCAAAGUGGAUGAGGUGAAGUCCACAAUCAAGUUCCAAAUGAAGAAGGUGUUAUGUCUGGCUGUAGCUGUUGGUCACGUGAAGAUGACAGACGAUGAGCUUGUGUAUAACAUUCACCUGGCUGUCAACUUCUUGGUGUCAUUGCUCAAGAAAAACUGGCAGAAUGUCCGGGCCUUAUAUAUCAAGAGCACCAUGGGCAAGCCCCAGCGCCUAUAUUAAGGCACAUUUGAAUAAAUUCUAUUACCAGUUCCCUC